AAUAGAUACCCGGGUAGUCCACGCCGUAAACGAUGAGUGCUAAGUGUUGGAGGGUUUCCGCCUUUCAGUGCUGCAGCUAACGCAUUAAGCACUCCGCCUGGGGAGUACGGUCGCAAGACUGAAACUCAAAGGAAUUGACGGGGGCCCGCACAAGCGGUGGAGCAUGUGGUUUAAUUCGAAGCAACGCGAAGAACCUUACCAGGUCUUGACAUCUCCUGACCGCCCUGGAGACAGGGUCUUCCCUUCGGGGACAGGAUGACAGGUGGUGCAUGGUUGUCGUCAGCUCGUGUCGUGAGAUGUUGGGUUAAGUCCCGCAACGAGCGCAACCCUUGGUUCUAGUUGCCAGCAUUGAGUUGGGCACUCUAGAGCGACUGCCGGCGACAAGUCGGAGGAAGGUGGGGAUGACGUCAAAUCAUCAUGCCCCUUAUGACCUGGGCUACACACGUGCUACAAUGGAUGGUACAAAGGGCAGCAAAGCGGCGACGCAUGAGCGAAUCCCAGAAAACCAUUCUCAGUUCGGAUUG
rnacentral:rRNA from 1 species